UGGGGUGUAGCUCAGUGGUAGAGCAUGAACUUAGCAUGCAUGAGGUCCUGGGUUCACUCCCCAGUACUUCCA
rnacentral:tRNA from 1 species